AUUGAACGCUGGCGGCAGGCCUAACACAUGCAAGUCGAGCGGAUGAAGGGAGCUUGCUUCUGGAUUCAGCGGCGGACAGGUGAGUAAUGCCUAGGAAUCUGCCUGGUAGUGGGGGACAACGUUUCGAAAGGAACGCUAAUACCGCAUACGUCCUACGGGAGAAAACAGGGGACCUUCGGGCCUUGCGCUAUCAGAUGAGCCUAGGUCGGAUUAGCUAGUUGGUGAGGUAAUGGCUCACCAAGGCGACGAUCCGUAACUGGUCUGAGAGGAUGAUCAGUCACACUGGGACUGCGACACGGUCCAGACUCCUACGGGAGGCAGCAGUGGGGAAUAUUGGACAAUGGGCGAAGGCCUGAUUCAGCCAUGCCGCGUGUGUGAAGAAGGUCUUCGGAUUGUAAAGCACUUUAAGUUGGGAGGAAGGGUUGUAGAUUAAUACUCUGCAAUUUUGACGUUACCGACAGAAUAAGCACCGGCUAACUCUGUGCCAGCCGCCGCCGUAAUAC
rnacentral:rRNA from 1 species